rnacentral:rRNA from 1 species
AGAGUUUGAUCCUGGCUCAGAGUGAACGCUGGCGGUAGGCCUAACACAUGCAAGUCGAACGGCAGCACAGGAGAGCUUGCUCUCUGGGUGGCGAGUGGCGGACGGGUGAGGAAUACAUCGGAAUCUACCUUUUCGUGGGGGAUAACGUAGGGAAACUUACGCUAAUACCGCAUAAGACCUUCGGGUGAAAGCCGGGGACCUUCGGGCCUGGCGCGGAUAGAUGAGCCGAUGUCGGAUUAGCUUGUUGGCGGGGUAAAAGCCCACCAAGGCGACGAUCCGUAGCUGGUCUGAGAGGAUGAUCAGCCACACUGGAACUGAGACACGGUCCAGACUCCUACGGGAGGCAGCAGUGGGGAAUAUUGGACAAUGGGCGCAAGCCUGAUCCAGCCAUGCCGCGUGUGUGAAGAAGGCCUUCGGGUUGUAAAGCACUUUUGUUGGGGAAGAAACCGGCCGGAUUAAUACUUCGGCUGAAUGACGGUACCCAAAGAAUAAGCACCGGCUAACUUCGUGCCAGCAGCCGCGGUAAUA